ACACACACUUAAAGUGUGUGUUCUGGUCGUGACAAUCACAGGAGCCAAGGGAGGGUUCCUUACUCAAACCCUAACUUGCCUAAAUCCAAGAAAUUGAGAGGCCAAAUCAGUCCCAAAUCAAAAUCCAAGCUCGUAUUCAUGAACACCAAGUUGAAAGGAUCACAAGUUUGACGCGUAACAAGCUAGGUGGAAGCUUGGAGUGAAAGCGGGUCAAACAAGUCAAGCAUGGAAGAAAAGCGUAGCUCGGAUGCAAGGAGCGAUUAGCGAUUCAGUUAAUUACGCCCACACUAAGUGUGAUGAUAAAAGCGAGGUAUAAAUUGGGUCUAUAUGUUGACCCUAGCCAGGUGCUUUCUGGGAUGCCGGAGGACGAUCAAGCUCAGCGAAGAACCGAACACGAUAAAGAUACACGCUUCCGCGCAUUGCAACGUUGUAGAUUUUAAUCAACGAAUUCGAUCACGUUUUGUAGAAUAACGGAUGAUUUGUAAAAGUUUUUAAUAAACCCGUAU
rnacentral:lncRNA from 1 species